GACGAACGCUGGCGGCGUGCUUAACACAUGCAAGUCGAACGGAAAGGCCCCUUUGGGGGUACUCGAGUGGCGAACGGGUGAGUAACACGUGAGUAACCUGCCCUUGACUUCGGGAUAACUUCAGGAAACUGGGGCUAAUACCGGAUAGGAAUCCUUGCUGCAUGGUGGGGGUUGGAAAGCUUCGGCGGUUUUGGAUGGACUCGCGGCUUAUCAGCUUGUUGGUGGGGUAGUGGCUUACCAAGGCUUUGACGGGUAGCCGGCCUGAGAGGGCGACCGGCCACAUUGGGACUGAGAUACGGCCCAGACUCCUACGGGAGGCAGAAGUGGGGAAUAUUGCACAAUGGGCGGAAGCCUGAUGCAGCAACGCCGCGUGCGGGAUGACGGCCUUCGGGCUGUAAACCGCUUUCAGCAGGGGCGAAGCUUGUGGUGACGGUACCUGCAGAAGAAGCACCGGCUAACUACGUG
rnacentral:rRNA from 1 species